GGGAGGAUGGCCGAGCGGUUAUGGCGUGUGACUCAAGUAUCUAAGAUCUUGGCUUCUGAAUACAGAAGUUUGUUUUCUCAUGGGGAAACCCGCGUGGGUUCGAAUCCCACUCCUCUCA
rfam:Exophiala xenobiotica strain CBS 118157 unplaced genomic scaffold supercont1.5, whole genome shotgun sequence.